rnacentral:rRNA from 1 species
AACGAACGCUGGCGGCAUGCCUAACACAUGCCAGUCGAACGAGACCUUCGGGUCUAGUGGCGCACGGGUGCGUAACGCGUGGGAACCUGCCCUUAGGUUCGGAAUAACUCCCCGAAAGGGGUGCUAAUACCGGAUAAUGUCUUCGGACCAAAGAUUUAUCGCCUUUGGAUGGGCCCGCGUUGGAUUAGCUAGUUGGUAGGGUAAAAGCCUACCAAGGCGACGAUCCAUAGCUGGUCUGAGAGGAUGAUCAGCCACACUGGGACUGAGACACGGCCCAGACUCCUACGGGAGGCAGCAGUGGGGAAUAUUGGACAAUGGGCGAAAGCCUGAUCCAGCAAUGUCGCGUGAGUGAUGAAGGCCUUAGGGUUGUAAAGCUCUUUUACCCGGGAUGAUAAUGACAGUACCGGGAGAAUAAGCGCCGGCUAACUCCGUG